CGUGUUUAACUAUGGCAGUAGAAAGCUACUCUGAGUUAGCUGCAUAAAAUAAUUUUAUUGUUUCAUAAGAUUUUAUUUAUGCUUGGAUUAUUAGCAGCUAGUUUUUUAUUGGAACGGGUGUUUUUUAAGAAUAUUUGGUAUUAAAGGGGAUAGGACACAGUGCCAGCAUCCGCGGUUAAUCUGUUUUCUUUGCUUUUUGGUAAACUGAUUUUGUGUAUUUAUGAGUAGAAUUGGGUGAAAUCUUUCUAUUAGUGUAUUUUAUACUUAAUUUUUAAUAAAUAAAUUUUGUGACAGGGAUUAGAUACCCCAUUAAUUUAUUAUUGUAAUUUGUUUUAGUUU
rnacentral:rRNA from 1 species